UGCGCAGGCGGCUUACUAAGUCAGUGGUGAAAUCUUGCGGCUUAACCGUAAAAUUGCCAUUGAUACUGGUAGGCUUGAAUUCAGUUGAGGUUGGCGGAAUGUGUAAUGUAGCGGUGAAAUGCUUAGAUAUUACACAGGACACCGAUUGCGAAGGCAGCUAGCUAAACUGAUAUUGACGCUGAGGCACGAAAGCGUGGGGAGCGAACAGGAUUAGAUACCCUGGUAGUCC
rnacentral:rRNA from 1 species